CAAGUACUCCCUCCAUCUGGAAUUACUUGUCAUCAAAAUGGAUGUGUCUAGAACUAAAAUACAUCUAGAUACAUCCAUUUCAAUGACAAGUAUUUUUGGACGGAGGGAGUACAAG
rnacentral:pre_miRNA from 1 species